AAAGCGUGCGCAGGCGGUUAUAUAAGACAGAUGUGAAAUCCCCGGGCUCAACCUGGGAACUGCAUUUGUGACUGUAUAGCUGGAGUGCGGCAGAGGGGGAUGGAAUUCCGCGUGUAGCAGUGAAAUGCGUAGAUAUGCGGAGGAACACCGAUGGCGAAGGCAAUCCCCUGGGCCUGCACUGACGCUCAUGCACGAAAGCGUGGGGAGCAAACAGGAUUAGAUACCCCGGU
rnacentral:rRNA from 1 species